AAUGGAGUCAGGAGGUGAAUAUGGGGGCCCAGAGAGAUGGGGGGCGGUGUCACGGUGAGGUUCCGAAUGAAGGCCUGAAGAAGUUCACUAUGAAAUGAAGCAAAUUUGAGCAUUAUAUCAACCACAAAAAAUCAUGCCAACUGUCCAAACUACAGUCAUGAUCUGAACACAUGAAAGUAGUGUAGCAAUAUCUUCUUUGUACAAAAUAUCUCAGAAAAGUAUACUCCAUCUUCUAUCUACAAAAAACAUAUGUUCUGAAAAAAAAUCAGUAAAAUAUACAUCAUCUUCUAGUACAAAUAUCUUCUCCUCUGAACAAUCACACUGAACAAAUUUAGGACCAGUUAGUCAGAAAUGUUAGCAACAACAUGAAUAGUACACUUAUCAACAUCCACUAAUUAUCCUACAAUUGAAAUACAAAGAAAGGUCGAUGAGAGAGAAGGUAGACCAGGAGAUUAAGGAGCUCCAGGGGCGCGCGGCAGAGAGAGGUUACUUGGUCUAGGCUGCCGCGCGGCCAGGGACGGCAGCGAGCUUGGGCAGAGGCAGAGCGAAAGUGUACCUUGCCUAUUGGCACACAUAGAAAAUGAGUUACAUGGUUACAUUUACUAUCAGCAGGAUGGUUCAGAAUAAAGAAAGUCUGAUGACAUAGAAAGGUAAUUAGGUUGUAGAGCAACCCCAUUUUCACUGAACCGCAAUGAAGUGCACUGAACAAAUCUUUCCCUACUAAUAAAUCACGGAGUGCUUCUGGUCGUACAUCAUCGUCACUUUUGCAAAAAAGUCCCUCUACUUCUGAGAAUUCAACCCGCACUCUGAUUUUAAGUGAAUAUCUGAGAAGACGUUUCGUUUCUACACAAAACCCCUGCAGUUUUUAGUAUUCAGCCCGCUAUCUUUUUUAGUGGAGAGAGGAGAGGCGGGCGAGUGGGAAAGGCGACCGGCGGCUGCGAGGCUUGCGGUGGCGCGGUCGGCGAGGAUCCACCGGAUCUCGCCGGAUCCGGUGGGAAAUGGCGCGCAGGCGCCGGAUCUGGAAGGAAGUAAGCCGGACCUUGGAGCACGACUGCUGGCGGGUGCGCGUCUGGUACCUAUGAGAGAAGAGAGAACGAGCUGGAGAGAAAAGGAAGGACGGGAGGAAGGAGAUGGAAGGCAGGAGGGAGAGAGAACGGAGCGGCGAGGUGCGGCAGUGGUCCUGCUGGGAGGAAGGAGAUGGGAGGCCAGAGGAAGAGAGAAGGGACCGGUGAGGUGCGGCGGUGGUCCUCCUCCUGCUGCUGCUUGUCGGUGGGUCGCCGGCCAUCGGUUCGUGGUGGGGCUCGGGUGCGCGGAGGCGUCAGGGUCGAGGGAGCUCUCCUCCCUCGCGGCUGGAGGCGCUCGGGAUCGAGCGAGUGGGCAAGGGGAUCGGGAGCCCCUGGUGGCUGCCUGCUUGGGGAUUGCACGAGAUGCUGCUCGGGCCGUGGGCUGGCCGACUCUAUCUCCUCGAUCCAGGGCCCCGUGCUCGUCAGCGCCCGCCCCCAUCGCGCACGACUUUUCUGAUCCAGCGUGCAGCGAGGGCACCGCCGCUGCCAAUCUCGCUGCCGCCCUGUCGCGGAUCGCCACGCCCGCCAACGCCCCAGCCAUCCCUCAUUUUAUUCACUUCACCAGCUUGUUAGGGUCCCUCUCCACUGAUCUGAACACCGCUGCUACAUCCCCUAUUGCGAUCAUCCCUUGCUGAUCUGGGAGGCGCUGGAGUUCCGGUGGGCCGGCGUGCGCGGGGACGCGGGAGAGGUGCUGGAUGCGCUCAACGCAUGGAGGAAGGAGGAGGUGCUCGGGAGGCUCGGGAAGAUUUGGGCUUGCGGGGAGAGGCCUUGAAGCAGUGGCGGCCGUUGAUUGAGGAGUGCUGCGCAUGGUGGCUGGACAUACAGGGAGUGAGGAAGAAGACGUUGGGGCCGGCUGAAGAAGAUAAGAUUGGAGGAGACAGCGGUGCAUGUGGGUUACGGGGUGCCAAACGAUACGCGUCGCCAGCGCGAGACGGUUGAUGGAAUCGUUGUCGCCUACAGCUGAACAUAAGGUUGGAGUAAUAAAAAAAAUGCAUGCACGCGUCCCUCCUGAGCUUCUUCACUUGUUUCUUGCCGUGCAUGCAUACAGGGAUUUGGUUCUACCUUUUUUUUCUAGAUUUUGGAUUUACAUCUGUUUGUUUUAUCAUUUUUCUGCUUUCUAAAUUGCUUCAAGGAAAAACUUGAUACCCUAGCAUGAAAAUAACACAUAUUCUGAUGCUAAUCUCUAACGUAAUUAAAUUUAUUUAUAAGUAGCUACAUAGGCUAUAUUUAUAAUGCAAUUCUUAUAUCAACUUACGAGAAAAGACUUCAUGGUUAGCGCACACACAACAUGUUUGGGUGCUAGGCGAAGUAUACAACAAUUUUAUUGUGUGAUAUCAGUAACUCAACAUCAGUGUUGAUAUGCGUUGUCACUAUAUAUUGACAGUCUAAUCUACAAUGUCAUCUUGAAGUCAGACGAAAAACAUCAUGUGUGCUCUUACUUCAAAAAUAUUUGAAUUAGUAAUCGAACUCUUGAAAAAUGUGCUUCAAAGUCGAGAAAAAUGCACUCUGUGAAAGUCCUCCUGGCACCCCUCUCUCUCUAAACACUGCCCCUCCACCCCGUAACAAUGCAUGGGCAUAUUUUAUAUUAGUAGAUUUAAAAAAUUCUGAAUAUUUUAUAGAUAUUCAUAUUAGUGUAGCAAGUGAGCUUGACAAUUUUCAUGUCAUAUGGGAUAGCAUUGCUUCGUCGGUGAAAAAAAAAAUCAAGUGAAACAUUCGGCACCCAGAACACCAUGGUUGGAGAAUGGGGAUUCAUUUGGAAUUUGAGGAGUGAGACAUACGAGAUGAUGAUUUUUUUCACUCUAAUUGUUGGCUACAUGCGCAGUGACGACUCUAAGCUAGCUGCUACUACAAAUAAAUCAUAUCCACUCUCAAUGGACCAAACCAAAACAAAGUGCAAAAUAAAUAAGAAAUGAUAGAUAUAAUUUUUCACUCAUAUUAGUGUACCAGAAAAAAGUUUAGGGCACGGGCAUUUGCUUCCGGUGGUACGUAAUCAAAAUUGCUCUUGAAGUUGUAAAAUAUUACCCACCGAUGCCACAUGUAAUUGAAGAAAAACGUUUCACACAGGGGCUCCUCGCCUGGGCCAGCCCAACAGGAACCUUCUAUACUGCAUGCUCGCUGGGAGAACAACCAGCGCGCCAGUUUGGGCCGGCCUGUUUUAUAAUUUCGUACUUCAUUUUUCGUUUUCCUUUUCCGUCUUUUUUCUAAUUUUAGUAAGUUGGGAAUUCAAAAAAAUACCGAAUUUAAAAAAAGGAGAAUUAUGAUAUUUUUAAAAAUGUUCACAAUUAAAAAGAUAUUUGCAGAUAUUAUAAAAUGUUCAUGAUUUUGAAAAUUUUCGAAAAUCUGUAAAUAGGUUCGUGAAUUUGAAAAAUGUCCACGAGUUAAAAAAAAUGUUCAUGAUCUUGAAAAGUUGUUCAUGAUUUCACGAAAAUGAGAGAGAUGGUGUAUCUCGGUGAUGCAGCAAAAUUUGAUCAUGACCAUGGGACAUUAUGAUUUUUCUUCCUCCCGUUGCAACCCACGGGCCCUUUUGCUAAAUAAAAAAAUAUUCGUUGAUUCUAGAAAUGUUCGCUAUUCAAGAAAAUUGUUUAAAAAUGAUCACUUUUUAAAAAAUGUUUGCACUUUUUAUAAAACAUUCAUAAAUUCAGAAAAUGCUCUUGAUUUUAGAAAAUGUUUGAAAAUUUUAAAAGUGUUUACGCAUUUGAAAAAUGUUCACGAUUCAUAUAUGUGCAUGAGUUUAAAAAAUGUUCAUGAUUUCACGAAAUUGCAUGUGAUAGUGUAUCUUGGUGUGCAACAAAAUGUAGUCACGGUCAGUGGAGAUUACAAUUAUUUUUUUCCCGUUGCAACGCACGGGCCCUUUUGCUAGUAUUAUACGAGAUUGUAGGACAAACCUCGAUGCUCCAGUGUUAGACUCAACCCAACAGUACUAUUAUCUUUUGACGAAAAACACCAUUACUAAUAACAGUCGGAAAAAACCGUUACUAAUAACAGGCAGAUGCAUUCAUGAUGCAAAAUUUAAAAUCUACAAUCAUCAUUUAUUUUAGAAAAACAGAGUAUCAUAUAUGUACUUCGGAGUUUCAAGCUCAGAACCUUCAAAUUUCACGAAUCAAAUGUAUAACUGACAAUCAACAAAGUUAUCGGAUGACUGACAAGUCGGGAUUUGGUAAUUUUACCUCUUUGAUGGAGCUAUAAAUAAUCUCCAUAUGCACAUUCUAAUCAAUCUGCACGCACACAAAAUAAUCCCAAAUAUCAUCCACCCAACAAAAAUCUGCAGUAAACAAAAACACUUCAUCACCCUCACAAAAAAAGAACACUUCAUCAGGAGAACAGUACCAACGUUUUCAGAUUGUUCUUACUUAUAAGUUGGAAGGAUUACUGAUUCAUUAAGCU
rnacentral:lncRNA from 1 species